CCACGUUCGGAUUGCAGCCUGCAACUCGGCUGCAUGAAGCUGGAAUCGCUAGUAAUCGCGGAUCAGAAUGCCGCGGUGAAUACGUUCCCGGGUCUUGUACACACCGCCCGUCACACCAUGGGAGUCGGAAAUGCCCGAAGUCAGUGACCUAGCCGAAAGGAAGGAGCUGCCGAAGGUGGAGCCGGUAACUGGGGUGAAGUCGUAACAAGGUAGC
rnacentral:rRNA from 1 species